rnacentral:rRNA from 1 species
GAUUGACUGGGUCUUAGAUUGACGCUGGCGGCAGGCCUAACACAUGCAAGUCGAACGGUAACAGGAAGCAGCUUGCUGCUUUGCUGACGAGUGGCGGACGGGUGAGUAAUGUCUGGGAAACUGCCUGAUGGAGGGGGAUAACUACUGGAAACGGUGGCUAAUACCGCAUAACGUCGCAAGACCAAAGAGGGGGACCUUCGGGCCUCUUGCCAUCAGAUGUGCCCAGAUGGGAUUAGCUUGUUGGUGAGGUAACGGCUCACCAAGGCGACGAUCCCUAGCUGGUCUGAGAGGAUGACCAGCCACACUGGAACUGAGACACGGUCCAGACUCCUACGGGAGGCAGCAGUGGGGAAUAUUGCACAAUGGGCGCAAGCCUGAUGCAGCCAUGCCGCGUGUAUGAAGAAGGCCUUCGGGUUGUAAAGUACUUUCAGCGGGGAGGAAGGUGUUGUGGUUAAUAACCGCAGCAAUUGACGUUACCCGCAGAAGAAGCACCGGCUAACUCCGUGCCAGCCGCCGCGGUAAUU